rnacentral:rRNA from 1 species
ACGGAGGAUGCAAGCGUUAUCCGGAAUUAUUGGGCUUAAAGGGCGCGUAGGCGGUUAUAUAAGUCUGAUUUUAAAGUUCGGGGCUCAACCCCGUGAUGGAUUGGAAACUGUAUGACUUGAGUACAGUAGAGGUAAGCGGAAUUCCCAGUGUAGCGGUGAAAUGCGUAGAUAUUGGGCGGAACACCAGUGGCGAAGGCGGCUUACUGGCCCGUUACUGACGCUGAGGCGCGAAGGCUAGGGGAGCAAACAG